AGCGAACGCUGGCGGCAGGCCUAACACAUGCAAGUCGAACGGUCCUUCGGGACAGUGGCGGACGGGUGAGUAACGCGUGGGAACGUGCCCUUAGGUUCGGAACAACUCAGGGAAACUUGAGCUAAUACCGAAUGUGCCCUACGGGGGAAAGAUUUAUCGCCUUUGGAGCGGCCCGCGUCUGAUUAGCUAGUUGGUGAGGUAAAGGCUCACCAAGGCUACGAUCAGUAGCUGGUCUGAGAGGAUGAUCAGCCACACUGGGACUGAGACACGGCCCAGACUCCUACGGGAGGCAGCAGUGGGGAAUCUUGCGCAAUGGGCGAAAGCCUGACGCAGCCAUGCCGCGUGAAUGAUGAAGGUCUUAGGAUUGUAAAAUUCUUUCACCGGGGACGAUAAUGACGGUACCCGGAGAAGAAGCCCCUGCUAACUUUGUGCCAGCAGCCGCGGUAAUACGAAGGGGGCUAGAGUUGCUCGGAAUUACUGGGCGUAAAGGGCGCGUAGGCGGACAGUUU
rnacentral:rRNA from 1 species